UACGUAGGGUGCAAGCGUUAUCCGGAAUUAUUGGGCGUAAAGAGCUCGUAGGCGGUUUGUCGCGUCUGCUGUGAAAACCCGAGGCUCAACCUCGGGCCUGCAGUGGGUACGGGCAGACUAGAGUGCGGUAGGGGAGAUUGGAAUUCCUGGUGUAGCGGUGGAAUGCGUAGAUAUCUGGAGGAACACCGGUGGCGAAGGCGGCAUCCUGGACCAAUACUGACGCUGAGGAGCGAAAGCCAGGGGAGCAAACGGG
rnacentral:rRNA from 1 species